rnacentral:rRNA from 1 species
CCCUUAGAUGUUCUGGGCCGCACGCGCGCUACACUGACGAAUGCAACGAGCUUAUAACCUUGGCCGAAAGGUCUGGGUAAUCUCCAAAUUUCGUCGUGAUGGGGAUAGAUUAUUGCAAUUAUUAAUCUUCAACGAGGAAUGCCUAGUAAGCGCAAGUCAUCAGCUUGCGUUGAUUACGUCCCUGCCCUUUGUACACACCGCCCGUCGCUCCUACCGAUUGAAUGGUCCGGUGAAGCGUUCGGACCGUGGCCUUUGGACGGUUCGCCGUCUGUUGGCUGCGGGAAGUUCGUUAAACCUUAUCAUUUAGAGGAAGUAAAANUCGUAACA